CAACAAAUUCACCAGUGAAGCCAUGGAACCUUCACAGGGUGGACGGUGAACCAAGAGGCUCCUGUGCUCGAAUCAUCUUGCAUCUCUGACUUCCCAUCUGAGAAUUAACCUGCUGGCCUCGCCCCUACCUGCAUGGUGCAGGGGAGAGAAUCUGGGAUCUAAUUGCUCCUUCUGCAGAUCUUGAAGCAGUCUUCCUGUUUCAGCACCAUCAUCACCCUACUUCUGGAGAUACCUUUGCCUUUUGAGGAUGUAGUACAGUAAAUCAUUUUGCACCAUG